UACGAAGGGUGCAAGCGUUACUCGGAAUUACUGGGCGUAAAGCGCGCGUAGGCGGCUUUGCAAGUCGGGGGUGAAAGCCCGAGGCUCAACCUCGGAACUGCCCUCGAUACUGCAAAUCUCGAGUCCGAGAGAGGUGAGUGGAAUUCCUAGUGUAGAGGUGAAAUUCGUAGAUAUUAGGAAGAACACCAGUGGCGAAGGCGGCUCACUGGCUCGGUACUGACGCUGAGGCGCGAAAGCGUGGGGAGCAAACAGG
rnacentral:rRNA from 1 species